GACGAACGCUGGCGGCGUGCCUAAUACAUGCAAGUAGAACGCUGAAGGAGGAGCUUGCUCUUCUGGAUGAGUUGCGAACGGGUGAGUAACGCGUAGGUAACCUGCCUGGUAGCGGGGGAUAACUAUUGGAAACGAUAGCUAAUACCGCAUAAGAGUAGAUGUUGCAUGACAUUUACUUAAAAGGUGCAAUUGCAUCACUACCAGAUGGACCUGCGUUGUAUUAGCUAGUUGGUGGGGUAACGGCUUACCAAGGCGACGAUACAUAGCCGACCUGAGAGGGGGAUCGGCCACACUGGGACUGAGACACGGCCCAGACUCCUACGGGAGGCAGCAGUAGGGAAUCUUCGGCAAUGGACGGAAGUCUGACCGAGCAACGCCGCGUGAGUGAAGAAGGUUUUCGGAUCGUAAAGCUCUGUUGUAAGAGAAGAACGAGUGUGAGAGUGGAAAGUUCACACUGUGACGGUAUCUUACCAGAAAGGGACGGCUAACUACGUG
rnacentral:rRNA from 1 species